UACGUAGGGGGCAAGCGUUGUCCGGAUUUAUUGGGCGUAAAGAGCGUGUAGGCGGCUAGGUAGGUCCGUUGUGAAAGCUCGAGGCUCAACCUCGAGACGUCGAUGGAAACCAUCUAGCUAGAGUCCGGAAGAGGAGAGUGGAAUUCCUGGUGUAGCGGUGAAAUGCGCAGAUAUCAGGAAGAACACCCGUGGCGAAGGCGGCUCUCUGGUACGUGACUGACGCUGAGACGCGAAAGCGUGGGGAGCGAACAGG
rnacentral:rRNA from 1 species